GCGGCCAGGUCUGGUUUAGCUACCAUUUAUCUUUAAUACAUGCCAUGAAAGGCGAUCAAGAGGAGCAAUCAUAAGCAGUGAUGUGUUCCAGGGCUACGAGCGCCAGUACUGCGACUUUGCGUCUGCGAGGUCUCCGCCAGAUCGCCACCCUCUCUUCCCGUGCCGAUUUCUAUUCGCUGCUGUUGGUUUCGUCUUACAUGGUGAGAUCUAAGCAGACAAGAUGAAGCAGAUGCUCCCUGAGAUCCAGUCCGACGUGCGGGAUACUGAAUCGCUGGUGGAGGCUUCAUUUUGGAUGUAGGUGAAUGUGUGAUUUCUGGAAGCUCUGUAUAUUAACUUCAUGAUCUGCUCUUGAUUUCUUUCUUUGGGACUAGAUUUGAAGAUUUCCAGCUACACCUUCUAAAAAUCAGGCUGCUGAUCCGGGGUGCAUUGCUACUCGGCCUUGCGUUCAAUUGAAGUUUUCUGAGAUCAACUCUUCUGAACUUCAAAACGAGUAGUCCUCGUAUUUUGAGGUUGCUGUUAACGCACGUAUACAUAGUCACUUUGAUUAUGUUUAAGUUAGAGAUAGAGUUAUUAGCAAUUAAUUAGGCCGUCCUGUUUAUUGUUUUGUAAUCUGUUAUAUAUCUAUCUCUCUCUUUCCUGUACGACAAGGACAAGGACUAGCUGUAAUCGAACUCCUGUAUGCUCUCGUGGGUUUCUCCACAUUAUAUAACAUGAAGCCGUCGCCCUCAGCAGGAUAAGACGUUCCACCAAAACUAAUAGUUGCUACUUGCACAUUGUUCAUCUUCUGUCAAUUUCGUUGCAUUAUUUUGCACUCUAUCUGCCAAUUUGAUUGCAUGGUACAGGGUGCGAUGGUGGCGUGGGCGCCGCACGGGGUAGGAGCAGUGCCCUGCACAGGCCAGCCCAUGCCGGGAGCUAGCAUCGCGCCAACGCCUCCAUGAACGCCGCCAUGACGCGCUGCAUGGUGUCGCUGUCGGGUGUGGCCCCCAACAUCGCGUUGUGUGCUCGAGCAUGUCGUUUGUGGCUUCAAGCCGCCUGGUGGCCACCGUGAAGUAAGUAAAUCGAAGGAUUCUCUACUGAUGAAUAGGGAGCUGCACCAGACAUGAUAUGGUCUUUUCAUUUUCGCAGUAAGACUGGACUGACCUCAAGACUUAAGUAUCUCGGAACUAUGUUUUUCCUGCGUAGUUUUCAACAGGCUAUUACAUGGUCUAUUAAGUGCGUGUGAAGAUUCUUGAAUUUACCCUGACAUUAUGGAACCUUUGUGCUGAAACAAGUAAAUAUGUUAAUCUAUAAUGAUAGCAAUGAAGACAUUGUGCAGUUCCGUUA